GUCUUUUUGUUAUUUAUUUAAAGUUUGGCCUGCUCCAUGACUAAGUUAAAUAGCCGCAGUAUUUUGACUGUGCAAAGGUAGCAUAAUCAUUAGUUUUUUAAUUGAAAGCUGGAAUGAAGGGUCGGAUGAGAAAGAAUCUGUCUCAUUCUAAUUUAUUUGAAUUUUAUUUUUAAGUUAAAAAGCUUAAAUUUUAUAGAAAGACGAGAAGACCCUAUAGAGUUUAAUAAGUUAAGAUUUGAUUAUCUGAGGAUUUUAAUGUAAUUAUUUUUUGACUUGUUUUGUUGGGGUGACAUUAGAAUUGAAUAAACUUCUUAAUAUUUAAACAUUGAUUUAUGAGUUAAUGAUCCUGAUUUUUGGAUUUAAAGAUUAAAUUACCUUAGGGAUAACAGCGUAAUCUUUUUGGAGAGUUCUAAUCGAUAAAAGGGAUUGCGACCUCGAUGUUGGAUUAAAGUUAAGUUUCGGUGUAGGAGCUGAAAUUUUGAGUCUGUUCGACUUUUAAAACUUUACAUGAUCUGAGUUUAAACCGGCGUGAGCCAGGUUGGUUUCUAUCUUUUAUGAAUAAAAUAUUUUAGUACGAAAGGACCAAGUAUUUAAAUAAUAUUUUUUGUUGGAAUGAAAUUGUUGUUUUGGCAGAUUAGUGCGAUAGAUUUAGAAUCUUUAUAAGUAAUUAUAUUACAAAUAACAAUUUAUUUUGUUGAUUUAAAUUUAUUAUUUAUUUCUGUCUUAAUUUUAGUUGUUUGUGUUUUAGUAGGGGUUGCUUUUUUAACUCUUCUUGAGCGUAAGGUUUU
rnacentral:rRNA from 1 species